AGAGUUUGAUCCUGGCUCAGGACGAACGCUGGCGGCGUGCUUAACACAUGCAAGUCGAACGGAAAGGCCCUUCGGGGUACUCGAGUGGCGAACGGGUGAGUAACACGUGGGUGAUCUGCCCUGCACUUUGGGAUAAGCCUGGGAAACUGGGUCUAAUACCGAAUAUGACCAUGCACUUCCUGGUGUGUGGUGGAAAGCUUUUGCGGUGUGGGAUGGGCCCGCGGCCUAUCAGCUUGUUGGUGGGGUAAUGGCCUACCAAGGCGACGACGGGUAGCCGGCCUGAGAGGGUGACCGGCCACACUGGGACUGAGACACGGCCCAAACUCCUACGGGAGGCAGCAGUGGGGAAUAUUGGACAAUGGGCGCAAGCCUGAUCCAGCCAUGCCGCGUGAGUGAUGAAGGCCCUAGGGUUGUAAAGCUCUUUCAGCACAGACGAAGCGCAAGUGACGGUAUGUGCAGAAGAAGGACCGGCCAACUACGUGCCAGCAGCCGCGGUAAUACGUAGGGUCCGAGCGUUGUCCGGAAUUACUGGGCGUAAAGAGCUCGUAGGUGGUUUGUCGCGUUGUUCGUGAAAACUCACAGCUUAACUGUGGGCGUGCGGGCGAUACGGGCAGACUUGAGUACUGCAGGGGAGACUGGAAUUCCUGGUGUAGCGGUGGAAUGCGCAGAUAUCAGGAGGAACACCGGUGGCGAAGGCGGGUCUCUGGGCAGUAACUGACGCUGAGGAGCGAAAGCGUGGGGAGCGAACAGGAUUAGAUACCCUGGUAGUCC
rnacentral:rRNA from 1 species